UACGGAGGAUCCGAGCGUUAUCCGGAUUUAUUGGGUUUAAAGGGUGCGCAGGCGGAAUAUUAAGUCGGCGGUGAAAGUUUGCAGCUUAACUGUAAAAUUGCCGUUGAUACUGGUAUUCUUGAGUGUAUAUGAAGUAGGCGGAAUUUGUAGUGUAGCGGUGAAAUGCAUAGAUAUUACAAGGAACUCCGAUUGCGAAGGCAGCUUACUAAAUUACAACUGACGCUUAGGCACGAAGGCGUGGGUAUCAAACAGGAUUAGAUACCCCGGUAGUCCCUGA
rnacentral:rRNA from 1 species